rnacentral:rRNA from 1 species
GAUCCUGGCUCAGAACGAACGCUGGCGGCAGGCCUAACACAUGCAAGUCGAGCGCGCCCUUCGGGGUGAGCGGCGGACGGGUUAGUAACGCGUGGGAACGUACCCUUUGGUAGGGAAUAGCCACUGGAAACGGUGAGUAAUACCCUAUGAGCCCUUCGGGGGAAAGAUUUAUCGCCAAAGGAUCGGCCCGCGUUAGAUUAGGUAGUUGGUGGGGUAAUGGCCUACCAAGCCUACGAUCUAUAGCUGGUUUUAGAGGAUGAUCAGCAACACUGGGACUGAGACACGGCCCAGACUCCUACGGGAGGCAGCAGUGGGGAAUCUUGGACAAUGGGGGCAACCCUGAUCCAAGCCAUGCCGCGUGAGUGAAGAAGGCCUUAGGGUCGUAAAGCUCUUUCGCCUGUGAAGAUAAUGACGGUAGCAGGUAAAGAAACCCCGGCUAACUCCGUGCCAGCAGCAGC